AGGCAGGGAAUAAAGAGCAGCUGUCGCCAGGCUGGGCUACACAGAGAUGAUAAAAGGCUCUAGUACCACGUGUUGCUGCAGGCCCUGAAGCGUAGCACAGGGCAGCUACAGAGGAAGAACUUGAAGAAAAGCGAGAAGCAACGACCACUAGCUUUUCCAGGGGAGCACCCUGCGUCGCCAGCUUGCCUACCGAGGGGUAGCUCAGCAGCAGCGCCCUUGGCCGAUCAAUGCCAUCAGCACACAAUGCAAUGCAAUACCACCUCAUGCUGGGCAGCUGGGGGUCUUGCGCAGCAUCGACUUCUGAGUGAUGGCAUUUGUCUUUCCGAGUAACUGUUACAUGUGAUGGAGCCCUGCUUUCCUGGAGAUGGCUGAACACCUGCCUGCCCAUGGGAAGUGGGGAAUGAAUUCCUUGUCUUGCUUUGCUUGCAUGUGUGGG